GGACCUUUAGCUCAGUUGGUUAGAGCAAUCGGCUCAUAACCGAUCGGUCCUGGGUUCGAGUCCCUGAAGGUCCA
rnacentral:tRNA from 7 species